rnacentral:rRNA from 1 species
AGCGGCGGAUGGGUGAGUAACACGUGGGGAACCUGCCCCUAAGUCUGGGAUACCAUUUGGAAACAGGUGCUAAUACCGGAUAAUAAAGCAGAUCGCAUGAUCAGCUUUUGAAAGGCGGCGUAAGCUGUCGCUAAGGGAUGGCCCCGCGGUGCAUUAGCUAGUUGGUAAGGUAACGGCUUACCAAGGCGACGAUGCAUAGCCGAGUUGAGAGACUGUUCGGCCACAUUGGGACUGAGACACGGCCCAAACUCCUACGGGAGACAGCAGUAGGGAAUCUUCCACAAUGGACGCAAGUCUGAUGGAGCAACGCCGCGUGAGUGAAGAAGGUUUUCGGAUCGUAAAGCUCUGUUGUUGGUGAAGAAGGAUAGAGGUAGUAACUGGCCUUUAUUUGACGGUAAUCAACCAGAAAGUCACGGCUAACCACGUGCCAGCAGCCGCGGUAAUACGUAGGUGGCAAGCGUUGUCCGGAUUUAUUGGGCGUAAAGCGAGCGCAGGCGGAAAAAUAAGUCUAAUGUGAAAGCCCUCGGCUUAACCGAGGAACUGCAUCGGAAACUGUUUUUCUUGAGUGCAGAAGAGGAGAGUGGAACUCCAUGUGUAGCGGUGGAAUGCGUAGAUAUAUGGAAGAACACCAGUGGCGAAGGCGGCUCUCUGGUCUGCAACUGACGCUGAGGCUCGAAAGCAUGGGUAGCGAACAGGAUUAGAUACCCUGGUAGUCCAUGCCGUAAACGAUGAGUGCUAAGUGU